UACGGGGGGAGCAAGCGUUGUUCGGAUUUACUGGGCGUAAAGGGCGCGUAGGCGGCGCAACAAGUCACUUGUGAAAUCUCCGGGCUUAACCCGGAGCGGUCAAGUGAUACUGUCGUGCUAGAGUGCGGAAGGGGCUACUGGAAUUCUCGGUGUAGCGGUGAAAUGCGUAGAUAUCGGAGAGGAACACCCUGGCGGCGAAGGCGGGUAGCUGGGCCGACACUGACGCUGAUGCGCGAAAGCCAGGGGAGCGAACGGG
rnacentral:rRNA from 1 species